rnacentral:rRNA from 1 species
GAUGAACGCUGACAGAAUGCUUAACACAUGCAAGUCAACUUGAAUUUGGGUUUUUAACUUAGGUUUGGGUGGCGGACGGGUGAGUGACGCGUAAAGAACUUGCCUCACAGCUAGGGACAACAUUUGGAAACGAAUGCUAAUACCUAAUAUUAUGAUAAUAGGGCAUCCUAUAAUUAUGAAAGCUAUAAGCGCUGUGAGAGAGCUUUGCGUCCCAUUAGCUAGUUGGAGAGGUAACGGCUCACCAAGGCGAUGAUGGGUAGCCGGCCUGAGAGGGUGAUCGGCCACAAGGGGACUGAGACACGGCCCUUACUCCUACGGGAGGCAGCAGUGGGGAAUAUUGGACAAUGGACCGAGAGUCUGAUCCAGCAAUUCUGUGUGCACGAUGAAGUUUUUCGGAAUGUAAAGUGCUUUCAGUUGGGAAGAAACAAAUGACGGUACCAACAGAAGAAGUGACGGCUAAAUACGUG